rnacentral:rRNA from 1 species
UACGUAGGGAGCGGGCGUUGUCCGGAUUUACUGGGCGUAAAGGGCGCGUAGGCGGGUGGAUAAGUCAGGUGUGAAAGCUCCGGGCUCAACUUGGAAACUGCACUUGAAACUGUCUAUCUUGAGGUCAGGAGAGGAAAGUGGAAUUCCUAGUGUAGCGGUGAAAUGCGUAGAUAUUAGGAGGAACACCAGUGGCGAAGGCGACUUUCUGGACUGUACCUGACGCUGAGGCGCGAAAGCGUGGGGAGCAAAC